UUUUAUUUGAGAGUUUGAUCCUGGCUCAGGAUGAACGCUGGCGGCGUGCCUAACACAUGCAAGUUGAGCGAUUUACUUCGGUAAAGAGCGGCGGACGGGUGAGUAACGCGUGGGUAACCUACCCUGUACACACGGAUAACAUACCGAAAGGUAUGCUAAUACGGGAUAAUAUAUUUGGGAGGCAUCUCUUAAAUAUCAAAGGUGAGCCAGUACAGGAUGGACCCGCGUCUGAUUAGCUAGUUGGUAAGGUAACGGCUUACCAAGGC
rnacentral:rRNA from 1 species